rnacentral:rRNA from 1 species
UACGUAGGGGGCAAGCGUUGUCCGGAUUUAUUGGGCGUAAAGCGCACGCAGGCGGUCUAUCGCGUUUUGAGUGACAGGUGGGGGCUUAACUCCCACAGGCCUCAGAAGACGGGAAGACUUGAGGGCUUCAGAGGGACGCGGAAUUCCAGGUGGAGCGGUGAAAUGCGUAGAGAUCUGGAAGAACACCAAAGGCGAAGGCAGCGUCCUGGGAAGCAUCUGACGCUCAGGUGCGAAAGCUAGGGGAGCGAACGGG